UACACACAGGUUUGUGAAUUUCAGUUUACAGGUGAUACGACACACGUGUUUUAUUUGCGACUCUCGAAUUUGAAUUAAGUUUCUGCAAAGGAUAAGAAAAGCUUAAAUUACGUUAAUGCAAAUGCACAUACGUUUCCAAAUAACAAAUAGCUUUUUAACGCCGUUGACAUUAUUUUCAAUUUUAACUUUUUAUGAAUUUAUUGUGAUAGUGUGUUAUAGAAUGAAUAUAUUUGUCACUGUUCACAUCGACAUAUAAAUUGAAUGGAUUUUCAUUAUUUCAAUUCUUUGUACGGCAAUUUUUGUGAAACAUAAUCAUUUAUAUGUGUUUUAUUUUUCUCCAGAUCUGUGAUCAUGUUCGUAAAGGCAGUCUUCAGUGUAUUUAUUUUUUUAUUCGUUCUCGUAGCAGGUAAGUUCUUUAUAGAGUUGAAAUAUCAAGGAUUUUACAUGACUCCUCGUCUGUCCCAGCAAAAAUCAAACCUUCUUUGUCUAAAUAACAUUUCAAAAAACCUAUUACCUCCUGUUGAUUGUUGAUGUCGUGCUAUUCAGAGAUAAUCAAGUUAUAGACAGACGCAUUUCCGCAUGUUAGCUUAAUACCUCCUCUAAGAAUUAAAGGUCUCCGAUAUGUAUAAGCUGACUACACUUCACGAAUCCAUCAACUUUUGUAUCCUUUCAACUAAUAUUUUUCACGUUCUCUAACUACAGUAACAUAACGUAUUAUUAAUUAAAAAAGCCAUCUGGAAAUGGUUGAAUAAAAUAUUUUUAAAGAAACGUAUAUGUACAACCAGAGUAUCACAUUCUUUGAUCAAAAAGUAAACUAACAAAUAUACCGAACUCCAAGGACAUUCAAAGUCCUUUAACCAAGUUAAGGUGGUACCUAACACUACAGGGAGAUAACUCUGUAAAGUCAGCGAAACGUUUUAAUAACGUUGCGUUGUAAAGGAAAUAUUAAGCUUCUCAGUGAUCUAAAUUGGUGUUUGUCAAACUGCUAUAUAACCAGUGUAAUUUUUCUGAUAAAAUGGUUGGUUCAAAAUUUUUGAAAUUUUUAUAUUUUUGUAAAAGGGUUAGAAUAAAUACUUAGCCAAAAUUUUAUGAAAAUUAAACGAGCCAAAUUAAUUUUAGUGAAAGUGUUGCGUACCACCUCAAUAGCAAAAUCCAAAGCCCAAACACAUCAAACAAAUGGAAAACAACUGUCAUAUUCCUAUAUGGUAUAUGCAUUUCCUUAUCUUAAAAAUGGGAUUUUAAGCUAUGUUAUUUACAAAGCUCAAUAUUUUAAAGACGGUCCAUGUAAACUUAUCGACAAUUUGUAAAUUUGUUAAAAAAAAAACCAACACGUUUUAAUCUGAAUUCUGUAGAAAAUCUUUUUCCCUACGAUAUGUCUUAUCAUCAGAGAGAACAUCACUUAUUUAUUUGUUAUAACUGCCAUUAAUCUAGCUCUCAGUAGCUGUGAGUACUCUUUGUACGACAUUUUGUGCUUUAUGUCUUGUUGUUAGAUGUGUUCGUGUUACGUUCCUAUCAAAGUAGUUUUACUGAAAUAUUUGGUUUUAAAUCCUAUAUUUGAAUUGACCUUUCAAUGUUUUUACUUUUUAUGCCACUGAUGAGUCUGAGGAAGACUUUUUCCCUUGAUGUGAUUAUGUUUCGUUCUUUUAACUAUAUAAGCCCUAACUUCUUUCGUUUGAAUUGUUCAACGUAUUUUUUUGAUGGGUACUUUUUGGCUUUCUGCAUUGAUUUAGGCAUACUCAUUUUUGAAGGACGUGUGAUGGCCCUAGCUAGUAUUUAGUUUCUUCCAUCCUCGUUAUCUACUUGAUAGUCAUCUCAUUGCCCGGUCUCCUAAUUGUUCUCUAACUAAACUCUUAUUCCGGAAAUGUUCCUGAUUCUGCUUUUUUAAAGAAUUUAUUUGAUAGGCAUUUGCUGUCACUUGGGUAUUCUGUUAAAACUUAGGAGAAGAUUCAUGAAAUAAUAAGUAAUGAAAUGAUGAGGCAAAAACAGUACAUUUGAGUUGUUUCACAGGUAUCUAAAUAUACUAACAAUUCUGUUUUCAGUAAAUGCAUUGUGUAGCCAUCCAUGUUCUCGAGUCAACAGAGGCGAAUUUGUCGAUGAAACAAAUACAUACACAUUUUCAUGUACCAAUACAUCAAUUUUAUCAGUUAAUAAUGGAGAAGAAUUAAGAGAAUGUUAUGCAAGACUUGGAGCCUUUCUUGUAGUCAGGUAAGAAAAUGUGCACAUGCAAUUGAAACUUGAAAUGGAGAAUGUGUCAAAGAGACAAACACCCGACUAAAGAGCAGACAACAGCCGAAGGCCACCAAUGGGUUUAAAAUGCAACAAGAAACUACCGCACUCGGAGGCAUGCUUCAGUUGGCCCCUAAACAAAAAUAUGUACUAGUUCAGUAAUACUGGACGUCAUACUAAACUCCGAAAUAUACACAAUAAACAAAAUUAAUAAUCAUACAAGACUAAAAAAGGCCACGGGCUCCGGAUUUAUGACAAGAGCAAAAUAACAGUGUAAUACUUCUAGUACUCUUUCCCAUUUUAUUGUGCUCAAGUUAGGGACAUACUAAUUCCUGUCAAAAAAUGUAUUUACAGGUUAGCUAAGACCCACCGCCGGGUUCGGGAUUUUCUCGCUGCAUUUAAGACCAAUUGGUUGCCAUCGGCUGUUAUCUGGUCUUUGGUCGGGUUGUUUCUAUGAUUAAUUCCUCACUUCCGUUCUCAAUUUUAUUGUUGCUAACGACAACAUGAGUAAAAUAAAUUUCCGGUUAUUUUUUUUUUUUUUCAUGCCAUAUUUUAUUUCCUGAAUUUUUUAACAGAGAGGGGAUGUUCUAUAUUGAUAAAAUUUACCUGAAAGAUAUCAAUAGUUAACCUGUUUUUUCGUAUUAUUUGCUUUUUUUUUUUUACUUUUUAACUUGUUUGGCAAAUUGGUUCAUAGAGUCAUCUAUGAAUUGAUUUACAUAUUAACAUCACACUGAUAUUAAAAUAAUGCUCUACAAAUUCUUAUUGUCCGCUUUUUUGUAUACUAUUUAAUUGGAUAAUUUAUUUUUCAGGAAUGGUAAUAGAUACAGAUGUGUAAAACACACCCUCUAUGACCGUACUGCCCGAAUAAUAUUUGUGUAUGUUACACCUUACAGUAAGUCAUUGUUAUCAAUAAAAAUAUAUACAAGAUCAAUUAAGAAGUCAAGAAACACGGUAAAAAAAUAGUAUUUAGCAAUCGCGUACUGUGAAUUCGAAACUUAUUGCGAACAUUUAUUUUUAGAAUGAAAUGCAAUUUUAAUUUUUGCGACAUUGACACAAAAAUUCCUGUUUGAUUUGCAUAUAAAUACAUUCAAAAUGUAAAUUUAAAUUAUUGCGACUAUAACAUGUAUAACCAAGUCACAUUUUACGAAAUACUUAAAACAUUGAAAUAAUUGCAAUAAACUCUAAAUAGAACAACAACAGUUUGUUUGACAGAUUUAGCUUCUACAGUUAUGCAUGUAUCAUCAGCCAACCAACAUUCGCCAUCUUAGAUUUCAUAAACAGACGACAAAUGUUUGUUACCAGAAGUAAAACAUGUCGUCAGUGAUACAUCUCGUGAUGGUUUCUGUUAAUCACUACCGAAAUUAGGAAUAAUAUCAAUAGAACAAUUAUAAUAUGUAUCGGCUUAAGAAGUCAUGCUUUCGUACCUCUAUUUGGAGGUGUGUAAUAUGAUUGCAGAAGAGGCAACUCUCCGCCAACAUUACACACAAAAAGAAGACGUGGCAUGAAUGCUCAUAGAUAGAAAAUAAACUGACAUCGAUAUGAAGAAAAAAGAAGAAUGAUAAUAAAAUGAUUGUAAUAAAUGUAGUACACCUGCAAACAUAACAUACAAAAAUAAAGACUAAGAAAAAGCUGGGGGUGAUCUCAGUUGCUCCGGAAGGGGAACCAGUCGUGUUGCUCAUGUCAUUACAAACGCGGAAAAAUAGUCUUAUUCAGUAGGUCACAUUCGUGAAAAGGGAAUGGAAGUGUAAUUACACCAUAAGGAACAUAUUCAAUAGCAUCUGUGAGAAAGAUAAUCCAUAAUGGCCAACCAACUCGUGGUGGCGUCUGUGUAAUUAACACUUGAUUUUAACUUUAAAAUUUGGAACUCUUAGUUUAAUAGCUAUGUUAUUGUUAUGGAUUGAUGUAUGAUGGAAAACAAAUUAACUCUUAAACUUUUACUUACAGGAACAUUUUUAAGAGAACCAUCUAUUUGUGAUGUUUGUUCAGGAACAUUUACAUCAGCUUUAUUUGUCGGUAUGUAUUUUUGUAACAUUGAAUACGCGUGUAUGAUGGCUGAAUAAAAAAUUACAACCGUCAUCUGUUUUUUUUUAUUAUUUCAUCAGCAUCGAUAGAGGUCUAAAUUGACAUUUGCAUAGUUCUGUCAUUUUAUCUAAAAAAAAUCAUUAGGAAGGGUAACUAAAAUUUAUCAUUUAACGGAAGAUCUUACAGUAUUUUGCCUUCUUGGUAUCAAAAAUGACUGUCACUCGAGUUCUACGGAAGCAAGAAAUUAUUAAACUUAUUGUUUUUACUUUUUUCUAUUUAUUGUAUUUUCUAGAUGAGACCAGUGUGUCUUGUAUUGGGCUAUUGUAAAUUUGAUUAUUAUUUAAGGAAUUACUGUAAUAUUUUUUCUGUCUAUGAAGAAAUAACAUAAAAAAUUUGGUGCACACUGAAUAACGUGCGUAGCGGGUUAUUUAACAGUGUGCACCACAUUUUUUAUGUUAUUUCGAAUAGACAGAAAAAAUAUUACAGUCAGUUCUUAUAAUUUAAUUCUAAACUCUAUUUUAAACCGUAUAAAACCAUGAAAAAACGUUGAUGACGUCACGGUCACAUGACUAAAUUAUGUCUAUGGGCUCAUAACAAAAUAACGUCAGCCAAUCAGAAGACGCGUUACAUCCAAAAUUAAAUUAUACGGAUAUGUACUCCAUUUAAGGAUGUACGUAGGUGAGGUUUUGGGAAUGGUGUCAAAUGUUUGGACUCCUUGGUGUUUUCCAUACAAUACAAUGUAAAAUAUUUUGCCCCAUAACACCCAUUCUAUUUUUUCAUAUAAGACUUAAUAGCUCAUGAAAAGUCAUUUAUAAACAUUUUAGAAGAUUCUUGAUUUUCUUUCUUUUGUUUUGCGACCCAAUAAUAUCAAUGCAAAUAUAAGGUAAAAGUCCGAGUCAGCCUUUUCCCGCCAUAUUUUAAAUCUCAAUUAUCUCGAAAAGGAGGUCCAUGACCUAUCAAUAUUUUUAGCUUAUCUUUAUCCUUAAUUGAUGCUCUACCAGCUUAUAGUAUCAAUUUUAAUUUCUUAAUUUCUUAAUUUUUACCUAACCUCACCUAAGUGCAUCCUUAAACCAUAUGAUACCAUAUGAUACGUCAGUAAUAGUAAUUAUUGAUGUUAUUAAUAUUGUUAGACUUCAUUUGUCUAAUUGCAAUUUCAGAGACUUGUACCUGGGAGUGAAAAAAUAUGCAUACGCUAACAUCAUCUGGUUAUUCAAAAAUAGAAUUGAAAUAGCGUUGUUUUGCAAUACUAAAUAAAAUAUAGCCUAAUACGUUAAGGAUUUUAAGUCAACUAAUUAACGCAAAAUAAACUAGCAAUAUUAAAGAUUCUACAAUCUAAAAUAAGCAUGCAUAUUUAUAUUCAUAUUUGAAUCGUAAUAUUCUCUUCUUAUCUUUUUACAGCUAAAGGACAAGAUUGUAAGUAUACAUGUGUUGUUUUUAUUUUGAUAUUGUGUAAAGAAAUAUGUAGGAAAACAUAACAAGUCAUCAACAAUGAAAUUCAUCAGUU
rnacentral:lncRNA from 1 species